ACAGGGAUUGCCCUAGUAACGGCGAGUGAAGCGGCAACAGCUCAAAUUUGAAAUCUGGCGUCUUUGGCGUCCGAGUUGUAAUUUGCAGAGGGCGCUUUGGCAUUGGCAGCGGUCCAAGUUCCUUGGAACAGGACGUCACAGAGGGUGAGAAUCCCGUACGUGGUCGCUAGCCUUUACCGUGUAAAGCCCCUUCGACGAGUCGAGUUGUUUGGGAAUGCAGCUCUAAAUGGGAGGUAAAUUUCUUCUAAAGCUAAAUACUGGCCAGAGACCGAUAGCGCACAAGUAGAGUGAUCGAAAGAUGAAAAGCACUUUGGAAAGAGAGUUAAAAAGCACGUGAAAUUGUUGAAAGGGAAGCGCUUGCAGCCAGACUUGCCUGUAGUUGCUCAUCCGGGUUUUUACCCGGUGCACUCUUCUACGGGCAGGCCAGCAUCAGUUUGGGCGGUUGGAUAAAGGUCUCUGUCAUGUACCUCCUCUCGGGGAGAUCUUAUAGGGGAGACGACAUGCAACCAGCCUGGACUGAGGUCCGCGCAUCUGCUAGGAUGCUGGCGUAAUGGCUGUAAGCGGCCCGUCUUGAAACACGGACCAAGGAGUCUAACAUCUAUGCGAGUGUUUGGGUGUCAAGCCCGAACGCGUAAUGAAAGUGAACGGAGGUGGGAACCUUUCGGGGUGCACCAUCGACCGAUCCUGAUGUCUUCGGAUGGAUUUGAGUAAGAGCAUAGCUGUUGGGACCCGAAAGAUGGUGAACUAUGCUUGAAUAGGGUGAAGCCAGAGGGAACUCUGGUGGAGGCUCGCAGCGGUUCUGACGUGCAAAUCGAUCGUCAAAUUUGGGCAUAGGGGCGAAAGACUAAUCGAACUAUCUAGUAGCUGGUUCCUGCCGAAGUUUCCCUCAGGAUAGCAGUAACGUUUUCAGUUUUAUGAGGUAAAGCGAAUGAUUAGAGGCCUGGGGGUUGAAACAACCUU
rnacentral:rRNA from 1 species